UUAAGCGACUAAGCGUACACGGUGGAUGCCCUGGCAGUCAGAGGCGAUGAAGGACGUGCUAAUCUGCGAAAAGCGUCGGUAAGGUGAUAUGAACCGUUAUAACCGGCGAUGUCCGAAUGGGGAAACCCAGUGCAAUUCGUUGCACUAUCGUUAACUGAAUACAUAGGUUAACGAGGCGAACCGGGGGAACUGAAACAUCUAAGUACCCCGAGGAAAAGAAAUCAACCGAGAUUCCCCCAGUAGCGGCGAGCGAACGGGGAGCAGCCCAGAGUCUGAAUCAGCUUGUGUGUUAGUGGAACGGUCUGGAAAGUCCGACGGUACAGGGUGAUAGUCCCGUACACCAAAAUGCACAGGCUGUGAACUCGAAGAGUAGGGCGGGACACGUGGUAUCCUGUCUGAAUAUGGGGGGACCAUCCUCCAAGGCUAAAUACUCCUGACUGACCGAUAGUGAACCAGUACCGUGAGGGAAAGGCGAAAAGAACCCCGGCGAGGGGAGUGAAAAAGAACCUGAAACCGUGUACGUACAAGCAGUGGGAGCACCUUUAUGGUGUGACUGCGUACCUUUUGUAUAAUGGGUCAGCGACUUAUAUUCUGUAGCAAGGUUAACCGUAUAGGGGAGCCGCAGGGAAACCGAGUCUUAACUGGGCGUUAAGUUGCAGGGUAUAGACCCGAAACCCGGUGAUCUAGCCAUGGGCAGGUUGAAGGUUGGGUAACACUAACUGGAGGACCGAACCGACUAAUGUUGAAAAAUUAGCGGAUGACUUGUGGCUGGGGGUGAAAGGCCAAUCAAACCGGGAGAUAGCUGGUUCUCCCCGAAAGCUAUUUAGGUAGCGCCUCGUGAAUUCAUCUUCGGGGGUAGAGCACUGUUUCGGCUAGGGGGUCAUCCCGACUUACCAACCCGAUGCAAACUACGAAUACCGAAGAAUGUUAUCACGGGAGACACACGGCGGGUGCUAACGUCCGUCGUGAAGAGGGAAACAACCCAGACCGCCAGCUAAGGUCCCAAAGUCAUGGUUAAGUGGGAAACGAUGUGGGAAGGCACAGACAGCCAGGAUGUUGGCUUAGAAGCAGCCAUCAUUUAAAGAAAGCGUAAUAGCUCACUGGUCGAGUCGGCCUGCGCGGAAGAUGUAACGGGGCUAAACCAUGCACCGAAGCUGCGGCAGCGACACGAUGUGUUGUUGGGUAGGGGAGCGUUCUGUAAGCCUGCGAAGGUGGCCUGUGAGGGUUGCUGGAGGUAUCAGAAGUGCGAAUGCUGACAUAAGUAACGAUAAAGCGGGUGAAAAGCCCGCUCGCCGGAAGACCAAGGGUUCCUGUCCAACGUUAAUCGGGGCAGGGUGAGUCGACCCCUAAGGCGAGGCCGAAAGGCGUAGUCGAUGGGAAACAGGUUAAUAUUCCUGUACUUGGUGUUACUGCGAAGGGGGGACGGAGAAGGCUAUGUUAGCCGGGCGACGGUUGUCCCGGUUUAAGCAUGUAGGCUGGUUAUCCAGGCAAAUCCGGAUAAUCAAGGCUGAGGUGUGAUGACGAGGCACUACGGUGCUGAAGUAACAAAUGCCCUGCUUCCAGGAAAAGCCUCUAAGCAUCAGGUAACAUCAAAUCGUACCCCAAACCGACACAGGUGGUCAGGUAGAGAAUACCAAGGCGCUUGAGAGAACUCGGGUGAAGGAACUAGGCAAAAUGGUGCCGUAACUUCGGGAGAAGGCACGCUGGUGUGUAGGUGAAGUCCCUGCGGAUGGAGCUGAGACCAGUCGAAGAUACCAGCUGGCUGCAACUGUUUAUUAAAAACACAGCACUGUGCAAACACGAAAGUGGACGUAUACGGUGUGACGCCUGCCCGGUGCCGGAAGGUUAAUUGAUGGGGUUAUCCGUAAGGAGAAGCUCUUGAUCGAAGCCCCGGUAAACGGCGGCCGUAACUAUAACGGUCCUAAGGUAGCGAAAUUCCUUGUCGGGUAAGUUCCGACCUGCACGAAUGGCGUAAUGAUGGCCAGGCUGUCUCCACCCGAGACUCAGUGAAAUUGAACUCGCUGUGAAGAUGCAGUGUACCCGCGGCAAGACGGAAAGACCCCGUGAACCUUUACUAUAGCUUGACACUGAACAUUGAGCCUUGAUGUGUAGGAUAGGUGGGAGGCUUUGAAGCGUGGACGCCAGUCUGCGUGGAGCCAACCUUGAAAUACCACCCUUUAAUGUUUGAUGUUCUAACGUUGGCCCCUUACCGGGGUUGCGGACAGUGUCUGGUGGGUAGUUUGACUGGGGCGGUCUCCUCCCAAAGCGUAACGGAGGAGCACGAAGGUUAGCUAAUCCUGGUCGGACAUCAGGAGGUUAGUGCAAUGGCAUAAGCUAGCUUGACUGCGAGCGUGACGGCGCGAGCAGGUGCGAAAGCAGGUCAUAGUGAUCCGGUGGUUCUGAAUGGAAGGGCCAUCGCUCAACGGAUAAAAGGUACUCCGGGGAUAACAGGCUGAUACCGCCCAAGAGUUCAUAUCGACGGCGGUGUUUGGCACCUCGAUGUCGGCUCAUCACAUCCUGGGGCUGAAGUAGGUCCCAAGGGUAUGGCUGUUCGCCAUUUAAAGUGGUACGCGAGCUGGGUUUAGAACGUCGUGAGACAGUUCGGUCCCUAUCUGCCGUGGGCGCUGGAGAAUUGAGGGGGGCUGCUCCUAGUACGAGAGGACCGGAGUGGACGCAUCACUGGUGUUCGGGUUGUCAUGCCAAUGGCACUGCCCGGUAGCUAAAUGCGGAAGAGAUAAGUGCUGAAAGCAUCUAAGCACGAAACUUGCCCCGAGAUGAGUUCUCCCUGAGACUUUAAGUCUCCUGAAGGAACGUUAAAGACGAUGACGUUGAUAGGCCGGGUGUGUAAGCGCAGCGAUGCGUUGAGCUAACCGGUACUAAUGAACCGUGAGGCUUAACCUU
rnacentral:rRNA from 1 species